AAAGGGCUCAACAUCGGCUCAGGCAAUUGAUCCGCCAGUAGCAACGUCAGCCCAGGAGACUGAUCCGACGGCAACAGCGGCACCUCGAACGGCCGUUUUGACGGAAGUAGCAUCGGUGGUAGCAUCACUCUGGAUAGAGGCUAUCCAGGUAAUCUCAUUGCUUUCAAACUCAUUAUAUACCUUACCGAUGCUAACUUUGCUUCUUUCAAUCAUCUACACAAUCCGCACAGGAGCAACCUGUACCCGCAUCAGCCGAUCCCCAUGCCGAGGACAUUCUAGAGACCACACCUAUCACAACUCCACCAACCGAGGUAACCAAGUAUGUUUUGCUUUAAUCUUCGUAACCUUCAUUGUUGAAUUCUGCCGAUCCUCUAUAUAGGCUAACCCAGAUGCAUCAAGCGACCUUCCUGAACCAUCAAUUUGAUUGGCUUCAGAGGUAAAAGAUCAUCUGCCAUUCUUUUAGCUCAAUCCACUUUAUUUUAUCGAAAACACCCUUUUUUUAGGAAAUCG
rnacentral:lncRNA from 1 species